rnacentral:rRNA from 1 species
AGUGAACGCUGGCGGUAGGCCUAACACAUGCGAGUCGAACGGCAGCACAGUAAGAGCUUGCUCUUACGGGUGGCGAGUGGCGGACGGGUGAGGAAUACAUCGGAAUCUACUUUUUCGUGGGGGAUAACGUAGGGAAACUUACGCUAAUACCGCAUACGACCUACGGGUGAAAGCAGGGGAUCUUCGGACCUUGCGCGAUUGAAUGAGCCGAUGUCGGAUUUGCUAGUUGGCGGGGUAAAGGCCCACCAAGGCGACGAUCCGUAGCUGGUCUGAGAGGAUGAUCAGCCACCCUGGAACUGAGACACGGUCCAGACUCCUACGGGAGGCAGCAGUGGGGAAUAUUGGACAAUGGGCGCAAGCCUGAUCCAGCCAUACCGCGUGGGUGAAGAAGGCCUUCGGGUUGUAAAGCCCUUUUGUUGGGAAAGAAAAGCAGCAGGUUAAUACCCCGCUGUUCUGACGGUACCCAAAGAAUAAGCACCGGCUAACUUCGUG